rnacentral:lncRNA from 1 species
AAAGAACUGUGUGAAAAUCUGUAACUUCAUGUUUUCAAGCCUGCUCUUGGUGGAAUACACUCCAUAAGGCACUUCAAGAGUUUAAAUAGGAGCACUUGUCAUUGCCUACAAUCUGUAAGUAGCUCCUCUCUUCUGGCUCCAAAAGCACCUCAAACAUUUAAUAUACUGGAAAGGUCUGAACAAAAGGACAGCAAUUGUUACCAGAGAGAAGGAAAACUGUACACAAAAAUUUGGAGGUGAGUAAAAGGAACUGAGAGAAGUUCAACAAGAAACAGAAGAGGGACGCCUGGGUAGCUCAGUGGUUGAGCAUCUGCCUUUGGGCCAGGUCGCAGUCCCUGGGUCCUGGGAUCGAGUCCUGCAUCAAGCUCCCUGCAGGAGCCUGCUUCUCCCUCUGCCUGUAUGUCUGCCUCUGUGUGUGUGUGUGUGUGUCUCGCAUGAAUAAAUGAAUAAAAUCUUAAAGAAAAAUAAAAUCAUCCAGAAAUUAAAAGUUUAUUUUAAUUAAUAAAUAAAUAGGGCAGCCCGGGUGGCUCAGCAGUAUAGCGCUGCCUUCAGCCCAGGGCAUGAUCCGGGAGACCCAGGAUCGAGUCCCACAUAGUGCUUCCUGCAUGGAUCCUGCUUCUCCUUCUGCCUGUGCCUCUGCCUCUCUCUCUCUCUCUCUCAUGAAUAAAUAAAAUCUUUUAAAAAAUCAAUCAAUCAAUCAAUAACACAGGAGUUGCUAGAGGCUCCCCUGGGUGGCUCAGUGAUUGAGCAUCCACCUUUGACUCAGGUCAUGAUCCCAGAUCCCUGCAAUGGAGUCCCACAUCGGGCUCCCUGCAGGGAAGCUGCUUUUUCCUUUGUCUCUGUCUCUGCUUCUCUCUCUAUGUUUCUUAUGAUAAAUAAAAUAUUUUUUUAAAAAAGUAGUUGUUAAAGAUAAACUAAAACAUUCACAGAUAAAAUAUGAUUCUGAGAUUUGCUUUAAAGUAAUCAUGAGGGAAGCCUGGGUGGCUCAGAGGUUGAGCGCCUGCCUUCGGCCCAGGGCAUGAUCGGGCUCCCUGCAUGGAACCUGCUUCUCCCUCUGCCUGUGUCUCUGCCUCUUUCUCUUUCUCUGUCUGUCAUGAAUAAAUAAAUAAAUCUUAAAAAAAAAAAAAAGUAGGGCAGCCCGGGUGGCUCAGCGGUUUAGCACUGCCUUCAGCCCAGGGCCUGAUCCUGGAGACCCAGGAUCGAGAUCCAUGUCAGGCUCCUUGCAUGGAGCCUGCUUCUCCCUCUGCCUGUGUCUCUGCCUCUCUCUCUGUG